rnacentral:rRNA from 1 species
GACGAACGCUGGCGGCGUGCUCAACACAUGCAAGUCGAGCGGUAAGGCCCCUUCGGGGGUACACGAGCGGCGAACGGGUGAGUAACACGUGGGUGACCUGCCCUCAGCUCUGGGAUAAGCCUGGGAAACUGGGUCUAAUACCGGAUAUGACUCCAUGACGCAUGUCGUGGGGUGGAAAGCCUUGUGCGGCUGGGGAUGGGCCCGCGGCCUAUCAGCUUGUUGGUGGGGUGAUGGCCUACCAAGGCGACGACGGGUAGCCGGCCUCGAGAGGGCGACCGGCCACACUGGGACUGAGACACGGCCCAGACUCCUACGGGAGGCAGGCAGUGGGGAAUCUUGCGCAAUGGGCGAAAGCCUGACGCAGCGACGCCGCGUGAGGGAUGAC